CAUAGCGUGAAUCUUGGCCCUCCAAAACAAAUCCAACGGCUGAGAUUCGUCCACGUCAUCACGAGUCAAAAUUUAACUCCCAGAGUUAAAUUUUGACUCGUGAUGACGUGGACGAAUCUCAGCCGUUGGAUCUGGGAGUUAAAUUUUAACUCGUGAUGACGUGGACGAAUCUCAGCCGUUGGAUUUGUUUUGGAGGGCCGAGAUUCACGCUAUG
rnacentral:pre_miRNA from 1 species